AACGGGUUAAGACAACAGGGAUUGCCCUAGUAACGGCGAGUGAAGCGGCAACAGCUCAAAUUUGAAAUCUGGCUCUCGGGCCCGAGUUGUAAUUUGUAGAGGAUACUUUUGAUGCGGUGCCUUCCGAGUUCCCUGGAACGGGACGCCAUAGAGGGUGAGAGCCCCGUCUGGUUGGAUGCCAAAUCUCUGUAAAGUUCCUUCAACGAGUCGAGUAGUUUGGGAAUGCUGCUCUAAAUGGGAGGUAUAUGUCUUCUAAAGCUAAAUACCGGCCAGAGACCGAUAGCGCACAAGUAGAGUGAUCGAAAGAUGAAAAGCACUUUGAAAAGAGAGUUAAAAAGUACGUGAAAUUGUUGAAAGGGAAGCGUUUAUGACCAGACUUGGGCUUGGUUAAUCAUCUGGGGUUCUCCCCAGUGCACUUUUCCAGUCCAGGCCAGCAUCAGUUUUCCCCGGGGGAUAAAGGCGGCGGGAAUGUGGCUCUCUUCGGGGAGUGUUAUAGCCCACCGUGUAAUACCCUGGGGGGGACUGAGGUUCGCGCAUCUGCAAGGAUGCUGGCGUAAUGGUCAUCAACGACCCGUCUUGAAACACGGACCAAGGAGUCGUCUUCGUAUGCGAGUGUUCGGGUGUCAAACCCCUACGCGUAAUGAAAGUGAACGCAGGUGAGAGCUUCGGCGCAUCAUCGACCGAUCCUGAUGUUCUCGGAUGGAUUUGAGUAAGAGCAUACGGGGCCGGACCCGAAAGAAGGUGAACUAUGCCUGUAUAGGGUGAAGCCAGAGGAAACUCUGGUGGAGGCUCGCAGCGGUUCUGACGUGCAAAUCGAUCGUCAAAUAUGGGCAUGGGGGCGAAAGACUAAUCGAACCUUCUAGUAGCUGGUUUCCGCCGAAGUUUCCCUCAGAUAGCAGUGUUGAACUCAGUUUUAUGAGGUAAAGCGAAUGAUUAGGGACUCGGGGGCGCUAUUUAGCCUUCAUCCAUUCUCAAACUUUAAAUAUGUAGAGCUCUGUUGCUUAAUUGAACGUGAGCAUUCGAAUGUAUCAACACUAGUGGGCCAU
rnacentral:rRNA from 1 species